rnacentral:rRNA from 1 species
GGGUCAGUAGGUUGGUCGUGCCACCGGUACGUACUGGUCUCACUGAUUCCUCCUUCCUGAAGAACCGUAAUGCCAUUAAUUUGGUGUUGCGGGGAAACAGGACUGUUACUUUGAAAAAAUUAGAGUGUUUAAAGCAAGCUAACGCUUGAGUACAUUAGCAUGGAUUAAUGAAAUAGGACGAUCGAUCCUAUUUUGUUGGUUUCUAGGAUUGACGUA